rnacentral:lncRNA from 1 species
UAAAAUUAUUUAAAGGUGGAAGGACCAUUCGCACAAAUAGACCAUUAAUAGAAAACACGCGGAUCCCCUGGAACGGGUCGGGUCGGUGCGCGGUUUAGUUCAAAACGACGCCAUUUUGGCGCCUAAACCAUUGGCCCAAAACGGCGUCGUUUAGUGAGCUAUAUAAAUAAAAAAAUUUCAGAAAAAAAAUCAUUCUUCCCCCCCACUUUAAAAAACAAAUUCAGAAAACCUCUCAUGCCCUCUCCCC